CCUACGGGCGGCAGCAGUGAGGAAUAUUGGUCAAUGGACGAGAGUCUGAACCAGCCAAGUAGCGUGAAGGAUGACUGCCCUAUGGGUUGUAAACUUCUUUUAUAGGGGAAUAAAAUGGUCCAAGUGUGGGAUUUUGUAUGUACCAUAUGAAUAAGGAUCGGCUAACUCCGUGCCAGCAGCCGCGGUAAUACGGAGGAUCCGAGCGUUAUCCGGAUUUAUUGGGUUUAAAGGGAGCGUAGGUGGAUUGGUAAGUCAGUUGUGAAAGUUGCGGCUCAACCGUAAAAUUGCAGUUGAAACUGGCAGUCUUGAGUACAGUAGAGGUGGGCGUAAUUCGUGGUGUAGCGGUGAAAUGCUUAGAUAUCACGAAGAACUCCGAUUGCGAAGGCAGUUCACUGGACUGCAACUGACACUGAGGCUCGAAAGUGUGGGUAUCAAACAGGAUUAGAUACCCCUGUAGUC
rnacentral:rRNA from 1 species